UAAGAAGUAACAAAGGGUGUUUAGUGGAUGCCUUGGCAAUCAGAGGCGAUGAAAGGCGUGAAAGACUGCGAUAAGUCCGGGCGAGCCGUCAAUAUGCAUUGACCCCGGAAUUCCUGAAUGGGGAAACCCAAUCCUUUAUGGAUUAUCAACAACUGAAUACAUAGGUUGUUGAAGCAAACGCGGAGAAGUGAAACAUCUCAGUAACCGCAGGAAAAGAAAACAAUAGUGAUUCCCUUAGUAGUGGCGAGCGAAACGGGACCAGCCCAGUGGCAGAGAUAUUCGUUAGAAAAACGGGAUGGAAAGCCCGGCAAUAAUAGGUGAUAGCCCUGUAUUCGAAAGCGAGUAAUUCUGUCCAAGAGUAGAGCGGGACACGUGAAAUCCCGUUUGAAUAUGGGGGGACCUUCCCCCAAGGCUAAAUACUCCUGAUUGACCGAUAGUGAACAAGUACCGUGAGGGAAAGGUGAAAAGAACCCCGAAGGGGGAGUGAAAUAGACACUGAAACUGAAUACCUACAAGCUGUCAGAGCACGGCAAUUUAAUUUGCGUGGCAAAUUAAAUUGCCGUGUGAUGGCGUACCUUUUGUAUAAUGAGCCAACGAGUUAUUAUUGUAUGCAAGCCUAAGCCGUUAGGUGUAAGCGCAGGGAAACCGAGUCUGAAUAGGGCGAAUUGAGUAUGCAGUAAUAGACCCGAAGCGGGGUGAUCUAGAUAUGGGCAGGUUGAAGGUGUGGUAACACACACUGGAGGACCGAACACACUAAUGUGUCAAUAUUAGGUGAUGACCUGUGUCUAGGGGUGAAAAGCCAAUCGAACCCCGUUAUAGCUGGUUCUCCGCGAAAACUAUUGAGGUAGUGUCUUGGGUGUUCGUUGCUGGGGGUAAAGCACUGAAAUGGCUAGGGGGAGUAAAAUCUUACCAAACCAUAUCAAACUCUGAAUACCAGCAAAUUAUAACCCAGGAAACAGUCUGUCGGUGCUAAGGUCGGCAGACGAGAGGGCAACAGCCCAGACCGCCAUCUAAGGUCCCAAAGUGAUAAUUAAGUGGGAAAGUGAGUCGAGAUUCCAAAACAACCAGGAUGUUGGCUUGGAAGCAGCCAUCGUUUAAAGAAAGCGUAAUAGCUCACUGGUCUAAUUAAGAAUUUCGGCAACCAAAAUGUAACGGGGCUAAAAUUAUCCACCGAAGAUGCGGGUGUCAGCAAAUUGAACAAAACGCUUUGCGUUUUGUUCAAUUUGCAGAGUUAUGUCGGCUUGCGCCGACAGAGUUAGAGAGUGAGAGAGUAAGAGAUGGUAAAUCUCUGACUCUCAUACUCUAAUUUUGCGAAGCAAAAUCUUGACUCUUUUACUCUGCAAAUUGAACAAAAACGGAGUUUUUUGUUCAAUUUGUUGGCGCGGUAGCGGAGCAUUCUGUAAGUCUGUGAAGGUCAAGGCGCGAGCCAGGCUGGAGAUAUCAGAAGAGCGAAUGUUGGCAUGAGUAGCAGCUAAUCAAGGUGAGAAACCUUGACGCCGUAAGAGCAAGGGUUCCUAUCCUAUGUUAAUCAGGGUAGGGUGAGUCGACCCCUAAGGCGAGGCCGAAAGGCGUAGUCGAUGGGAACACGGUUAAUAUUCCGUGACUCGCGAGAAUGUGACGGAUUCCGUAUAUUGUGCAUCCUUAUUGGAUUGGAAUGCGCAGUGAAGGAGUUCCAGGAAAUAGCACUCGCAUAUGAAUCGUACCCAGAACCAACACAGGUGCUCGAGUCGAGUAGACUAAGGCGGUUGAGAGAACUAUGUUGAAGGAACUAGGCAAAAUGCAUCCGUAACUUCGGGAUAAGGAUGACCUCCUUCAAGGCAACUUUAAUGAGGUGACACAAACCAGGUGGGGGCGACUGUUUACUUAAAACCCAGGUCUCUGCUAAAUCGUACAAGAUGAUGUAUAGGGACUGACGCCUGCCCAGUGCUGGAAGGUUAAGUUGAGGCGUGCAAGCGCUGAUAUGAAGCCCCAGUAAACGGCGGCCGUAACUCUAACGGUCCUAAGGUAGCGAAAUUCCUUGUCGGGUAAGUUCCGACCCGCAUGAAUGGCGUAACGAUCUCCACACUGUCUCCAACAUAGACUCAGCGAAAUUGAAUUCUCGGUGAAAAUGCCGGGUACCCGCAGCUAGACGGAAAGACCCUAUGAAGCUUUACUGUAGGUUCGUACUGGCAUAUUGAUACAUUUGCGUAGGAUAGGUGGGACGCUUUGAAGUGAUGAUUUCGGUUGUCAUGGAGCGGUUGGUGAAAUACCACCCUUGUGUAUUGAUAUGUCUAACCCGCGUUCUUGAAACAGGGCGGGGGACAGUGCGUGCUGGGCAGUUUGACUGGGGUGGUCGCCUCCCAAAUCGUACCGGAGGCGCGCGAAGGUUUGCUCAGGCUGGUCGGAAAUCAGCCGGUGAGUGCAAUGGCAAAAGCAAGCCUGACUGCAAGAGGGACACCUCGAGCAGAGACGAAAGUCGGUCAUAGUGACCCGGUGGUCCCGCAUGGAAGGGCCAUCGCACACGGAUAAAAGCUACUCUAGGGAUAACAGGCUGAUGCUACCCAAGCGUCCAUAGCGACGGUAGUGUUUGGCACCUCGAUGUCGACUCAUCGCAUCCUGGGGCUGGAGCAGGUCCCAAGGGUAUGGCUGUUCGCCAUUUAAAGCGGUACGUGAGUUGGGUUAAUAACGUCGUGAGACAGUUAGGUCCCUAUCUACUGUGGGCGUUGGAUAUUUGAGCGAACUUGACCUUAGUACGAGAGGACCGGGUCGAACGAACCACUGGUGUACCUGUUGUCGCGCCCGCGGCAUCGCAGGGUAGCUAUGUUCGGAACAGAUAACCGCUGAAAGCAUCUAAGCGGGAAGCUGGUCGCAAGAUAAGAUAUCCCCAUGAGUUCAGUCCCAGACGAGGACAUUGAUAGGUGGCAGGUGUAAGUCCGGUGACGGAUUCAGCUUAGCCAUACUAAUCGAACCAUUGACUUUUUAUC
rnacentral:rRNA from 1 species